rnacentral:tRNA from 1 species
GGGGUUGUGGCUCAGAGGUAGAGUGCUUGCCUACCAUGCGUGAGGCACUGGGUUCAAUCCUCAGCACCA